GCAUAUCAAUAAGCGGAGGAAAGAACCAACCCGGGAUUGCCUCAGUAACGGCGAGUGAAGCGGCAAGAGCUCAAAUUUGAAAUCUGGCCCCCUCGGGGUCCGAGUUGUAAUUUGCAGAGGAUGCUUCGGGUGCGGCCCCCGUCUAAGUGCCCUGGAACGGGCCGUCAUAGAGGGUGAGAAUCCCGUCUGGGACGGGGUGUCCGCGUCCGUGUGAAGCUCCUUCGACGAGUCGAGUUGUUUGGGAAUGCAGCUCUAAAUGGGUGGUAAAUUUCAUCUAAAGCUAAAUACUGGCCGGAGACCGAUAGCGCACAAGUAGAGUGAUCGAAAGAUGAAAAGCACUUUGAAAAGAGAGUUAAAAAGCACGUGAAAUUGUUGAAAGGGAAGCGCUUGCGACCAGACUCGCCCGCGGGGUUCAGCCGGCAUUCGUGCCGGUGUACUUCCCCGCGGGCGGGCCAGCGUCGGUUUGGGCGGCCGGUCAAAGGCCCCCGGAAUGUAGCACCCUUCGGGGUGCCUUAUAGCCGGGGGUGCAAUGCGGCCAGCCUGGACCGAGGAACGCGCUUCGGCACGGACGCUGGCAUAAUGGUCGUAAACGACCCGUCUUGAAACACGGACCAAGGAGUCUAACAUCUACGCGAGUGUUCGGGUGUCAAACCCGUGCGCGCAGUGAAAGCGAACGGAGGUGGGAGCCCCCCCGCGGGGCGCACCAUCGACCGAUCCUGAUGUCUUCGGAUGGAUUUGAGUAAGAGCGUAAAUGUGGGGACCCGAAAGAUGGUGAACUAUGCCUGAAUAGGGCGAAGCCAGAGGAAACUCUGGUGGAGGCUCGCAGCGGUUCUGACGUGCAAAUCGAUCGUCAAAUUUGGGUAUAGGGGCGAAAGACUAAUCGAACCAUCUGGUAGCUGGUUCCUGCCGAAG
rnacentral:rRNA from 1 species